CCAAUAGCGUAUAUUAAAGUUGUUGCAGUUAAAAAGCUCGUAGUUGAAUUUCGGGAUUGACACAUCGGUCGUGCCUUAAGGGGUAUGAACUGGUGUAGUCAAUUUCUCACCUUCUGGAGAACCGCGAUGUCCUUAAUUGGGUGCCGCGGGGAACCAGGACCUUUACUUUGAAAAAAUUAGAGUGUUUAAAGCAGGCAUUU
rnacentral:rRNA from 2 species